CCUACGGGUGGCAGCAGUGGGGAAUAUUGCACAAUGGGGGGAACCCUGAUGCAGCGACGCCGCGUGGGUGAAGGAGUAUUUCGGUAUGUAAAGCCCUAUCAGCAGGGAAGAACAAUGACGGUACCUGACUAAGAAGCACCGGCUAAAUACGUGCCAGCAGCCGCGGUAAUACGUAUGGUGCAAGCGUUAUCCGGAUUUACUGGGUGUAAAGGGAGCGCAGGCGGCGCGUUAAGCCUGGUGUGAAAUCCCGCGGCCCAACCGCGGGACUGCAUUGGGUACUGGUGCGCUGGAGUGCAGGAGGGGUAGGCGGAAUGUCUAGUGUAGCGGUGAAAUGCGUAGAGAUCAGGAGGAACACCAGUGGCGAAGGCGGCCUACUAAACUGUGACUGACGCUGAGGCUCGAAAGCGUGGGUAGCAAACAGGAUUAGAUACCCUUGUAGUC
rnacentral:rRNA from 1 species